ensembl:lncRNA
AAGAACUUCAAAGAAAAAAGUCUGUGUUGUUUUGAGAUAUGCAUGCAAAUAAAAUCAUAUUCUCCUUUUUGAAAGACCUAUGCAGUUGACAUGAGGUGAGGAAGUGGAAGUGAGGAAUGCACUUUGUUGAGACAAAGAAAUCCCUCAACCAAAUGAAGGAAACUGGUGUGGCAACUCUAGGAGCAAGCACUACCAACCCAUGGAGAUAAGCACUCGGCAACCUGGUUUCUCUUUUUGGUUGGGAGAUUUGGCUUGGGGCUCCUUCCAUUUUCAUCACUGUUGUCAGCUGUUUCUUAGUCCCACCCUAUCCGAGGGGCUGGCAGUCUCCUGUUUGCACUGCAGUCCCUGGAACAGAGAUCAAAAUCCUCUGAUGAUCACCGUGUGCUCUGGAGCAGCUGUAAUGCUAUACUCAUGUUUUCACAGGCUCUGAUUUCUUGCACGUUUUUUCUAUUCACAGCCUAGCUUUUUUCCCCCACACUCUGCUCUCCUGAGAAUGAUGUUAAGUACUGUUGUGGCUUGAAAAGCAGAAACUGAGAGUAGAUUUCUCUGCAAGUUCUUCACAGCACCUCACGUCACGCAGCUGAACUGCAGUUGGUCUACAGUGAGGUCUUCAGAUGCCUGCAGAGUAAGCAGCAGAGCGUGCAUCUGUGAGCAGGAACUGAAGAAAGGAAGCCAGGGUGGGUGGAAGAGCUCC